GAGUUUGAUCCUGGCUCAGAAUCAACGCUGGCGGCGUGCCUAACACAUGCAAGUCGCACGAGAAAGGGGAGCAAUCCCUGAGUACAGUGGCGCACGGGUGAGUAACACGUGACUAACCUACCCUCGAGUGGGGAAUAACCUAGGGAAACCUGGGCUAAUACCGCAUAACACUUACGAGUCAAAGCAGUAGUGCGCUUGGGGAGGGGGUCGCGGCCGAUUAGCUAGUUGGCGGGGUAAUGGCCCACCAAGGCAAUGAUCGGUAUCCGGCCUGAGAGGGCGCACGGACACACUGGAACUGAAACACGGUCCAGACUCCUACGGGAGGCAGCAGUGGGGAAUUUUGCGCAAUGGGGGAAACCCUGACGCAGCAACGCCGCGUGGAGGAUGAAGUCUCUUGGGACGUAAACUCCUUUCGAUCGGGACGAUAAUGACGGUACCGAUAGAAGAAGCCCCGGCUAACUUCGUGCCAGCAGCCGCGGUAAUACGAGGGGGGCAAGCGUUGUUCGGAAUUAUUGGGCGUAAAGGGUGCGUAGGCGGUCUGGUAAGUCUUGUGUGAAAUCUUCAGGCUCAACCUGAAGUCUGCAUGAGAAACUGCCGGGCUUGAGUAUGGGAGAGGUGAGUGGAAUUUCCGGUGUAGCGGUGAAAUGCGUAGAUAUCGGAAGGAACACCUGUGGCGAAAGCGGCUCACUGGACCAUAACUGACGCUGAGGCACGAAAGCUAGGGGAGCAAACAGGAUUAGAUACCCUGGUAGUCC
rnacentral:rRNA from 1 species